rnacentral:lncRNA from 1 species
UGACACUUGAGAUUUCAGUUACCAGGAUGAUUCUUCAGAUCCUCGAAACCUCGCGCUAGUCGUAGCAAUACAAACAAACAUUGUAUAGAUAAAAUCAAGAUCACACCAAACAUGAGAACAAAUUGAAUAAUAAUGAUCUACGCAUUGUUACGAUAUCGUGGGAACGAGAAUCACUAAAAUCGGAGUUACGGUUAAGGAGUUAUGAUUUUAUAGAACUCUAUGUGAUUAAAAUAUUAACUAUAUUAUAAAUUGGUUAGUAUAAAUCAUAUGAGAGGUUAUUCUAUAAAUAAUUAUCUCAACUUUAAUCUAAGUUAUAAAUUUACCAUAGAUCAUAUUUUAGUAGAUAAUGAUGAGCACAUUAACAAGACUAAUCAACAUAAGUUAAAUAAAGAUCUAAUCAUAAAAUAAUGAGACAUGGUAUAAUAAAUGUUGCUAUUGCAUAAUAGAUAUUGUACGAGACUAACGCAACUGGAAUGAGUCAAAUCGGAAUUAAAAUGAGAAAGUUAUGAAUUUCCUAAGGUUUUAUGUAUUCGAUAUAAUAUUAAUUAGGAAAUAAAUUUUAAAGUGGCUUUCAUGUCAAAUCAGUGGCACUAUUUGAUAAAUAAUAAUAUUAUAAAUUUUAGGAAUUGAAAUGGACUAAAAAGGAGCUAGUAUGAAUUUUCUAGAGAUUAAAUACUAUUCUGGAAUUUAUUUUUAUAUUAAAAAUUAUCUCCUAUAUUCCUUUUUCCCAUUAACACACGGCUCUGGACUGUGCACCAAAUUCUGGAAAAUCCAGGGGCUGGCGCGCAAGUGUUCCCUAGACUCAGACUUCUUGUUUUAGGAUUGCGGGUUCAUUCUUAUAAAGUUCAGGGUUGUUUUUGCAAGACUCGCAAGAUGAAGGGGUAUCGGCCUGCUCUGGCCGCUGGAUCUCGCGCGGACGGCGCGAAUUAGAUCCCACCCGCGACAAACCGGUAUGCUAUUAAGACCACUAGAUCAAAGAUCAACGGCCCGGGUUUUAUGAACCUAGAUUGAAGAGUACGUGUUCGAUCCGAAACGAACGCUUCAGAUCAUCCUAGCGACUCGGUAUUUAGCGAUCUGAUCACAGUCGUCCCGCCGUCAUCCGACAGUCAGAAACAUUUCCCCCAACUCCGUUCAUACCACGACGGCGUAGAGGGUUGCUAGCGGCGGCGCCAUCACCGGCGCUGCCCGAUUCCGCCAUUCUCGCCCCCAAUCACUAAUUGAAUCCGUGCUACCGCACUACUAGACCAUGGCGGAACUGGACAAGGUGUUCUCACCGGCAAUUGACAGGGCGAAGAGGUUGGUCCGCGGUGGUCGAAGGCUUCGCGGCGACGGAGAGCUUCCCUGGAUGCGGUAGUUGACGACAUUGGUCACCGAUGCGCACCGACGUUCGGUUGAUGAAGUCCAGUUGCCGGCGCCAGAGCUUCGUGGGUCCAGCAACCUUCUCACCCUCUCGGCACAACACACGGUUCACGGAAGGUUUCUCUCUCCCUACGGUGUGAUGAUGAUGGCGGCGGAAAUCACAAGGUGCUCGAUCUAGGGUUCACGCCAAGUGGUGGAGGAAGUAUACGACGAGGUUUUAUGCUCCCCCGCAGGUCGGCUCGGGCGCAAGGAAUGCGGUCGUGCAGGCGACAUUGCCGCCAGGGAAAUCGGCGAGGUCGUUGUGGAGAGAAGAUCUACAGUGCUCUUCCC